GUGAAUAUUGGUGGGUGGAAAGGUGGUUGUAGCGUCGACGUGCAAUGAUGAAGGUGGUGGAUUGGGCCCCGAUGAGCAAUCGACUACCGAACUUGGGCAAUGUUGGGGCAAAGAUGCGGUGCAAGGGGGUGGAAAUUGUUGGGGAACGUUGCAUGGGAAACAAAAAAUUUCCCACGCACACGAAGACCUAUCAUUGUGAUGUUCAUCUACGAGAGGGAGAUCAGAUCCACAUACCCUUGUAGAUCGCUAAGCGGGAAGCAUUAAGAAACGCGGUUGAUGAAGUGGUACAGCUUCGUGAUUCAAAUCAUCGUCGUCCCACGAUCCGUCCCGAUCUAGCACUGAAUGGACGACACCUCCGCGUUCAGCACACGUACAGCUCGAUGACGAUCUCCGCCUUCUUGAUCCAGCAAGAGAGACGGGUAAAUAGAUGAGUUCUCCGGUAGCGUGACGGCGCACCGGUGAUGGUGAUGAUCUAUUCCUGCAGGGCUCCGCCUGAGCUCCGCAGAAAUCCGAUCUAGAGGUAGAACUACGAGGUAUAGGUUUGAGUUGCACAUGGCAAAGUUGUGUCUCAAAAACCCUAAAACCACCAGUAUAUAUAGGAGGAGGGGAGGGGCUAGCCUUGGGGCUCAAGAGAGCCCCAAGGGUGUCGGCCA
rnacentral:lncRNA from 1 species